AGCCUCUGCCAAGGCGGCAGACCUUGCCGAAGUAGCUUCAGUUGCUACGGCAACACUUGAAGGGACAACUCCAGCUGCCGCGACCACAGUUUCCAUGGUUUCACUUCCUGGUUCUGAAGAGACGACAGCUGAUGACGUAACUUCAGGCGACAUGAUGAGUCCAGGUAGUGGCGAUGUAGCGACAUCUAGUGGCUCGGAGGCUUCUAGCAGCUCUGUUCCAGAUGACGCAUGCUCAGAAACAACUUCUGACUCUGCUGACCGCGCAGGCUCAGAAGAAGGUGGCAGUGCUGGCAACGCAGGCGCAGAGAAGGGCGGUGGCGCUGGCAGAGUGCCAGCGUCGCUCUGCACUGUUCCUAUUUCUCUUACAGUCUCUGCUGGCACAAACGCGCUGCUAAACUGAGUGAGAUCCGCUGCUUUUAUUAGCGAUCUCGGCUGUGUAGCUGCAGGCACUAGGACCUCCUCAUAAACAGAUCUGUCGGCUCGGAGACACGGCGCAGUCUCACUAAAUCCCGGCAAAGUUCCCUGAGCAGUUACAAGUUUUCGCUGAUCCGUAGUUAACUCUUUCAGCGAUUCAACGACCAAGCGCCAAACUUUAGGAAUCAGUGGACCCCAUACUCCCACCAGCUGACUCACCGGGCCAAGGCGAGCUUCCAAUUUGACCGUGCACGGCUUUGAUCACAGCACCGGGGUUCAGCGCUGUCUCUAACAGCUGCUUCCUUCGGCUCUCCGUUUGUCUUCUGUCCCGAAGAACUGACGAACUUUGAGUCCCUGUUCGGGCGCCAAUUGUUGAUGGAAGGGUAUGGACAGAUUGCUCCAGGAUCAAUAUGAUCAGGCAAAUGUCGGAUUUAUUAGGAGAAAGACAGAUUAUAUAGUGCUCAUGACGCUCAGCUUCUUGUUCACACAACAUUGGUUACAUAAGGAAAACAUGCUCUGCUGUUCCCUGCUAAUUGGACCACAACAGGUGGUCAUAGGAGAUGAGAAAACUUUA